UACGGAGGGUGCAAACGUUGCUCGGAAUCAUUGGGCGUAAAGCGCACGUAGGUGGCUUGUUAAGUCGGGUGUGAAAUCCCUGGGCUCAACCCAGGAAGUGCACUCGAAACUGGCGAGCUUGAGUACUGAAGAGGGUCGCGGAAUUCCCGGUGUAGAGGCGAAAUUCGUAGAUAUCGGGAGGAACACCAGUGGCGAAGGCGACUAUCUGGGCUGCAACUGACGCUGAGGCGCGAAGGCUAGGGUAGCAAACAGG
rnacentral:rRNA from 1 species